CGUACAGGCGUUAACACGAUGCAAGUCGAGGGGCAGCAUUGGGAUAGCUUGCUAUUUCAGAUGGCGACCGGCGCACGGGUGAGUAACGCGUAUCCAACCUUCCUGCCAGUAGGGAACAGCCCGGCGAAAGUCGGAUUAAUGCCCCUAGUGUUCUUUCAAUGCGGACAUCUAAGUUGAAGGAAAGAUUCAUCGCUGGCAGGAUGGGGAUGCGUCCGAUUAGCUUGCCGGCGGGGUAACGGCCACCGGGGCGACGAUCGGUAGGGGUUCUGAGAGGAAGGUCCCCCCACACUGGUACUGAGACACGGACCAGACUCCUACGGGAGGCAGCAGUGAGGAAUAUUGGUCAAUGGGCGUAAGCCUGAACCAGCCAAGUAGCGUGCAGGAUGACGGCCCUACGGGUUGUAAACUGCUUUUAUGCGGGGAUAAAGUGCGGCACGUGUGCCGCUUUUGCAGGUACCGCAUGAAUAAGGACCGGCUAAUUCCGUGCCAGCCGCCGC
rnacentral:rRNA from 1 species